UACGAAGGGGGCGAGCGUUGUUCGGAUUUACUGGGCGUAAAGGGCGCGCAGGCGGCAGAUCAAGUCAGACGUGAAAGCCCCGGGCUCAACCUGGGAAUGGCAAUGGAAACUGGCGGGCUGGAGUAUGGCAGAGGGGGGUGGAAUUCCGCGUGUAGCAGUGAAAUGCGUAGAGAUGCGGAGGAACACCGAUGGCGAAGGCAGCCCCCUGGGCCAAUACUGACGCUCAUGCACGAAAGCGUGGGGAGCAAACAGG
rnacentral:rRNA from 1 species